CCUACGGGAGGCAGCAGUGAGGAAUAUUGGUCAAUGGACGGAAGUCUGAACCAGCCAUGCCGCGUGCAGGAAGACGGCUCUAUGAGUUGUAAACUGCUUUUGUACAAGGGUAAACCUGAAUACGUGUAUUCAGCUGAAAGUACUGUACGAAUAAGGAUCGGCUAACUCCGUGCCAGCAGCCGCGGUAAUACGGAGGAUCCAAGCGUUAUCCGGAUUUAUUGGGUUUAAAGGGUGCGUAGGCGGAUUGAUAAGUUAGAGGUGAAAUGUCCGAGUUUAACUCGGGAACUGCCUCUAAUACUGUUGAUCUAGAGAGUAGAUGCGGUAGGCGGAAUGUAUGGUGUAGCGGUGAAAGGCUUAGAGAUCAUACAGAACACCGAUUGCGAAGGCAGCUUACCAAUCUAUAUCUGACGUUGAGGCACGAAAGCGUGGGGAGCAAACAGGAUUAGAUACCCUAGUAGUC
rnacentral:rRNA from 1 species